GGCCAGACUCCUACGGGAGGCAGCAGUGGGGAAUAUUGCACAAUGGGGGAAACCCUGAUGCAGCGACGCCGCGUGAGUGAAGAAGUAUUUCGGUAUGUAAAGCUCUAUCAGCAGGGAAGAAGUUGACGGUACCUGAGUAAGAAGCCCCGGCUAACUACGUGCCAGCAGCCGCGGUAAUACGUAGGGGGCAAGCGUUAUCCGGAUUUACUGGGUGUAAAGGGAGCGUAGACGGUGAAGCAAGUCUGAAGUGAAAGGCGGGGGCUCAACCCCCGGACUGCUUUGGAAACUGUUUGACUGGAGUGCAGGAGAGGUAAGUGGAAUUCCUAGUGUAGCGGUGAAAUGCGUAGAUAUUAGGAGGAACACCAGUGGCGAAGGCGGCUUACUGGACUGUAACUGACGUUGAGGCUCGAAAGCGUGGGGAGCAAACAGGAUUAGAUCCCCGAGUAUA
rnacentral:rRNA from 1 species